rnacentral:SRP_RNA from 1 species
GCUGGGCACAGUGGCUUAUGCCUGUAAUCCCAGCACUUUGGGAGGCCGAGGUGGGUGGAUCACCUGAGGUCAGGAGUUCAAGACCAGCCUGGCCAACAUGGUGAAACCCCAUCUCUA